GCCCCCGUAGCUCAACCGGACAGAGCGCCGUUCUGCCGAAACGGGAGAUGCGGGUUCGAGUCCCGCCGGGGGGA
rnacentral:tRNA from 1 species